UAGGGAAUCUUCCGCAAUGGACGCAAGUCUGACGGAGCAACGCCGCGUGAGUGAAGAAGGAUUUCGGUUCGUAAAACUCUGUUGUUAGAGAAGAACAGCGCAUAGAGUAACUGUUAUGCGUGUGACGGUAUCUAACCAGAAAGCCACGGCUAACUACGUGCCAGCAGCCGCGGUAAUACGUAGGUGGCAAGCGUUGUCCGGAUUUAUUGGGCGUAAAGCGAGCGCAGGCGGUCAAUUAAGUCUGAUGUGAAAGCCCCCGGCUCAACCGGGGAGGGUCAUUGGAAACUGGUUGACUUGAGUGCAGAAGAGGAGAGUGGAAUUCCAUGUGUAGCAGUGAAAUGCGUAGAUAUAUGGAGGAACACCAGUGGCGAAGGCGACUCUCUGGUCUGUAACUGACGCUGAGGUUCGAAAGCGUGGGUAGCAAACAGG
rnacentral:rRNA from 1 species